GAAAUGCGAUAAGUAGUGUGAAUUGCAGAAUUCAGUGAAUCAUCGAAUCUUUGAACGCACAUUGCGCCCCUUGGUAUUCCAUGGGGCAUGCCUGUUCGAGCGUCAUUUGUACCUUCAAGCUUUGCUUGGUGUUGGGUGUUUGUCUCGCCUCUGCGCGCAGACUCGCCUCAAAACAAUUGGCAGCCGGCGUAUUGAUUUCGGAGCGCAGUACAUCUCGCGCUUUGCACUCAUAACGACGACGUCCAAAAAGUACAUUUUUUACUCUCUUGACCUCGGAUCAGGUAGGGAUACCCGCUGAACUUAAGC
rnacentral:misc_RNA from 1 species